rnacentral:rRNA from 1 species
UGGCUCAGGAUGAACGCUGGCGGUGUGCUAAGGUAUGCAAGUCGAACGGUCCCUAUGAUUAUCAUUUGGACAGUGGCAGACUGGUGAGUAACGCGUGGAUAAUCUGCCCCGAAGAUGAGGAUAGCUCGCCGAAAGGUGAGGUAAUCCUCAAUGGUGUGGGAAGUACAUAUGUACAUCCCACUAAAGCUUUAGCGCUUCGGGAUGAGUCUGCGUCCUAUCAGCUUGUUGGUAGAGUAAAGGUCUACCAAGGCUAAGACGGGUAACUGGUCUGAGAGGAUGGUCAGUCACAGUGGCACUGAAACACGGGCCACACUCCUACGGGAGGCAGCAAUUAGGAAUCUUGCACAAUGGAGGAAACUCUGAUGCAGCGACACCGCGUGAAGGAUGAAGACCCUCGGGUUGUAAACUUCUUUUAUAAUCUAACAAGUUCUGAGUGGAGUAUGAAUAAGCACCUGCUAACUGCGUGCCGGAAGCAUCGGUGAAGCGUGGGGUGCGAGCGUUAUCCGGAUUUAUUGGGCGUAAAGAGAUGCGUAGGCGUUUUGGUAAGUCUUCUGUCAAAGCCUUCGGCCUAACCGAAGAAAGGCAGAGGAUACUAUCAGAAUUGAGACAGAGAGGGGGAAGUGGAAUUCCCGGUGGAGCGGUGAAAUGCGUUGAUAUCGGGAGGAACACCAGUGGCGAAGGCAACUUCCUGGCUCUGUUCUGACGCUGAGGCUCGAAAGCGUGGAGAGCAAAGCGGAUUAGAUACCCGUGUAGUCCAUGCUGUAAACGUUGGAUACUGGACGUUUGG